rnacentral:tRNA from 1 species
GGUGAUAUAGCUCAGUUGGUAGAGUGCUUGCCUUGCAUGCACAAGGCCCUGGGUUCAGUCCCAGCACCA